ensembl:lncRNA
AUGAGGUAGUGAGCUGGUUUCUAUGGCAGCACAGGGAAGUAGGCUCUCAGAAUAGUUAAUACUCAGAGGAGGUGGGACACUCUAUAGCUUAUUCAUGCCCUCAUUAUAUACCUACAUGACUUUUCCUGAAAGUCUCUCAGCAAGGCCCAGAUAAGGCCUAUGGGCCCAAGUUUCUAACAACAAAAUCGUCUUGUUUAUGGACAGCAACAAGUCCCAAGAAGCAACAUAAACUUAGAAAGAUGGGAAUGACACCUGAGGGAGAAACUCAGAAUGAGGACAACAUACAGACAACACAGACCAAGAUUCUAUUAGGCGCUGAUGCCCAGUUAUUGGCACUACAAAUGUCAGCCAGAGAAGGUUUGGAACAUGCAAACAGAACCAAAGAGAAGAUCUCUAAACUCAACCAAGUGAUUAGGAAGCAGUGGAAUGAUAUUGAGCUGGUAAAAUCCCGGUGUUGGGAGCUCCAGGACUCCAUUAAUACCACCAAACGACUUGAGAGGAUAUCCCUCAAUGUCACUUGGAGCAAACUAUCUGAGCUGGAAAAUGAUUUGGAGAAGGCUAAAGAAGAUGCUUUCCGGCACCUCAGGAGAUUCCAGUUGAGUGCAAAUCAAAAGACCACCUAUGAGAAGAAAAGAGAAAAUGAGCAGAACAGGUGUCUGCAUCCUGAUUUUUUUCUUGGAUCAGGGGCUCCUUUUCUGGGAAUGACAAAACUUAAUUCUCCCUCUGGUUUUCCCACUAGGAUGCUCAACUUCUCCCCAAUCAACAUCUAUGCAAAUCCCUAUGCUGAGGCCUUAGCAGCAUUAGAGGCGAUGACCGUUGCUGAACCCGAGAACUCUCCUGAAAUCAAAGAUGACAUCACUGCUAGUUCUAAAAGUGAAGAUUCUGUUAAAGAUUUGGCUGGAUCAGAAACAUACACGAGUGACUUUGAGGCAGGAGGGACAGAGAAAAGCCAGGAGGAGGAGAGUGUAUCUACUUCACUAGAGCAGUCAGAGUAUAGUGUUGAUAGCACCUUUGGGAGAACUGAAACGAGUAGAAAUGACUCCGGGAGCAGAACCAGUGAUAGCUCUUCAAAAUGUAGUGAAUCUAGUGAGAAUGAAUCAGAAAGUGAAGUUAGUGAAAAUUCUUCUGAAGUCAAAAUCAGUGAUCAUGAAUUAGAAGAUGUUAGAGCCAGUGAGAACCAGAGUCCCUCGGAAGUGAGAAUUAUGGGGAAUAACUUAGGAAUUAAAAGCAGUAAGGAUUCCCCAGAAAUCAAAUGCCCUCAGAGUCUCCCAGGAAUUAAAAACAUUAAGGGUAGCUCUAUAAAAUGCAAUGGGAACACCUGGAGAUUCAAAAGUAACAAGAUCUCUCCAAGUGCCAAAAUUAGCAAAAAUGACUCAGGCCUCAAAAAUAAGAGCGGCUGCCCAGGAAGCGGAUACAGUGAGAACUCUUUGGGAACCAAAAUCAGGAGGAGCCCCUCCGGAAUCAAAGUCAAUGAGAAUCUCUCUGAAGUUAAACUAAGUGACAGCCCCCUAGUCAAAAUCAAUGGGAUCCCUUCAAAAACCAAAGUUAAUGAGAGCCCCUUGGAAGCCAAAAGUAGUGGAAGUGACUUGGGGGUCAAGAGUUGUAAGGACAGCUCAGUCAAAUCCAGUAAGAGUCCUCCAGGAGUCAAAUGUGGGAAAGUUAAGGCUGGUGGGAGCCUUUCAGGAGUUAAACACAAUGGGAGUCCCCCAGAAACCAAACAAAACGGGAGUGUCUCAGGAGCCAAACAAAAUGAGAGCCCCUCGGGUGUUACAAAAACUGGGAAUCCUCUAAUUGUCAAAGCUGGUGGAAGCCCUGUAAGAACCAAAUACAGAGAGAAUGUGUCUAGAACCAGAGAGAAUGGGUAUUCCUUGGGAGGCAGACAAAGUGAGCGGAUUUCAGGAGUCAAGCAGAGAGAGAGAGUUUCAGGAGUUAACAGAAAUGAAUCCUCCUCAGGAUCCAAACGCAGGGAGAGGCCUUCAAGGGCCAGAGUUAAUGGGAGCUCCUUGGGAGGCAAAAUGAACAAGAAGCCCUCUGGAGCCAAAGGCUGUAAAAGCCCCCCUGGAGCCAGAAGUCAGGACAGCUCCUCGGAGGGCAAAUCUGGUGGGAGCCUCUCAGAAGUAGUCAGUGGCAACGACUCAGACGCCAAACGCAGCAGCAGCAGCUCCUUGGAAGAGAACACUACAACCAAGACUAACAAGAAUAGUGCCAUGGGCCCAAGUGUACAAAAGACUCAUUCAAAAUAAGAGAGGACACAAAGCAAAAAUCCCUCGCCUGUCUCUGUUACAAAGUCAUUCUUUGUGACUUUCAUCAGACCCUUUCCUUUGACAGAUUUUUGGUCGUUUCAGCUGAAGCCAGCUCCACAUUCUUUCACUGUCCCCUCCCCCAAGAGUAAAAAGGCUUGUCUAUACUGGGGCAGAGUUGUUCAUCACAGGUGCCAAUUAAAGAAGAAAAGUCACGGAUAAUUUAAAAAGGAAAGAAAAAUCAAAGGAUUGAUCACCAAAUAAAUAAAAACUUUUAAUGAUUAACAAACCCUCCCCUUUUGGCUCUGGGAUAUCAGAGACAUCCCACCGCAUGGCACUAGCUCCCCUCAGCUCCUCCCAAAUUGAUUGUACUGCCACUGAUCCUGAAAGCCAAUUAUAAAGGAAGGAGGCAUAGUCUCUUUGCAACCAUGGGAAAUCCAUGGACUAUUGAUCAUGGAAAUUUGAUUCCUUGGAAAUUCAUAAAAGGAAAGUUUGGGUUCUUGUUUCUCUUCUGAACUUUACAGCUAUAUGAACAGCAGUAAAGGUAAAAGGAAGGGGGAGGUAGGGAAGGAUGGGCAGAUGCAAGUUGAGGCAGGUUUGAGAAAAACUCAAGCAUGGAUGGCAUGCUCUCAGAAGCCAGGAGGACCAUGGAGUUCUCUUUGCACACAAUGGAGUCACGUCUUAGCCCAGCCCCAGAAGUCUCCCUUGAAGAAAAUAAUUUGUGGUGGUUUAUCAUGGGGAAUGAAUUGUGCUGACUAGGGGUGAGAAAGCAGUUUACUGCUUACUGAGUUGGUAUGAGGGGGCGCUGGGUACAGGGAGGAUGAAUGCUUGGAUACUAGAUCGAUGAGUGGACACGGAGCUAUGAAUAGACAUUUCUCAAAAAAGGGAAGGUGAGAAAGAAACCAAGAAUCCUGGGCUUGAAUGCAGUUGGGGAGAAGAGUCUUUUCCAUGUCGUCUGUCUCCCCCCACCUUCCACAAGAACGUAUGUUCCUUGAGAGCUGGGAUCCUUUGUCUUUGUAUGGUCAGCAACUUAUUGCCGUACC